CCGUUAAGCCUAAAUAUUCCCUGGUGACCGAUAGCGGAUAGUACCGUGAGGGAAUGGUGAAAAGUACCGCGGGAGCGGAGUGAAAUAGUACCUGAAACCGUGUGCCUACAAGCCGUGGGAGCGUCGGAGCGUGAGGUUUGCCUUGCGUUCUCGUGACUGCGUGCCUUUUGAAGAAUGAGCCUGCGAGUUUGCGGUGUGUUGCGAGGUUAACCCGUGUGGGGAAGCCGUAGCGAAAGCGAGUCCGAAUAGGGCGAUUUAGUAGCGCGCUCAAGACCC
rnacentral:rRNA from 1 species